AUCUCUGGGGACAUCGUGAUGACUCAGCCUCCAGGCUCCCUGGCUGUGUCUGCAGGAGAGAGGGUCACCAUCAACUGCAAGUCCAGCCAGAGUGUUCUGCAGAGCUCCAACCAGAAGAACUACUUAGGCUGGUACCAGCAGAAGCCUGGACAGGCUCUGAAACUGCUCAUCUCCUGGGCAUCCACCUGGGCAUCUGGGAUCCAUGACAGGUUCAGUGGCAGUGGGUCUGGGACAGACUUCACUCUCACCAUCAGCAGCGCACAGGCUGAGGAUGUGGCAGCUUAUUACUGCCAGCAGCAUUAUAGCUAUCCUCCCACAGUGCUUCAGCCUCCAACACAAACCUCAUCUCCAGGGCAUCCCCAGGGCCACAGGCCAGUGCAUCUCUGCUGUCCCAGCUGCACCCUUCCUGCUCAGCCCUGUGUCCCCACAGCUUGAUGAGAGGCUGGCCUGGUGGCUCUAUCUUGCAACAAUAAAGAUUAGCCUGUCCUGUGUCUCUUGCACAGGGAAGUCAUUCUAGGAAGUCUCUAUAAUGACCUGCUGUGGAUCCUUCUCUCCACUGUCCCAGAUGUUUUGCAUCACUUGAAAUUGUGCUGUCUCUACAGAUGAAUUUAUAUUCUUGACACAGCAAUGAUUUCAACUGCAUCUUGUGAAGAAGGGCUUAGUGUUCAUCACCCUGAUGGAUCAACUGUCCCUGCUCUGUGCCUGAUGACUCUGAACUUCCCAUUUUAUUCAUUUCUGUGUCCCACAUUCUCAUUAUCCCUUCUUGGCCUUGGGAGCUUCCCAGGGUGCAAUGCUCAGUCCCUUAUUGUCAAGUGCUUCCCCAUCAGACCUUUGUCUACUUCUCUAACUCAUCUGUCCCCAGCAUGCUAAGCAUUUCCUUUUCUGAGUCUCCACAUUUUCACCUGAUGGUUUCUGUUUCUGAACUAGCUUCUUUACUCCAUUCCAUUCUUCUUGGUCCUUCAUAUUUUAAAAAUAACAUUCUCAUAUUCCAUUUCUUCCUUGUGCUGUUUUUACAAUUAUAGAUCCCAGUGCUCUAUAUCCUUGACAGCACGGCAGCCAUAGCUGUGAACUCUAUAUGUGUGCCACCAUCUCUGUGACUUUGAUGUAUGAAUCAUUGAUAACCUACUGACUUUGAAAAAUUAAAUCUAAGCCAUAGUUUUUAAAAUCUUAUGUUGCCCAACCUCACUCUCUUGUUAGAUACCAUUAUCAGUAUGCUUAUGUCAUACCACCUGUAGGUAGUGUUCUAGAUGACCAACAAGUGAUAGAACAUUUAGUGGGCUGCACUGUGACUCUUGUGUCUAUGGGGACAUGCUGAGAAAGUGGUCUCCAAAUGCUGGCUUAAUGACCAGUAUUCAGGCAAUAAAAGAGUAAUUUAGGGAUGCUGUUAAGAUGCAGGA